rnacentral:rRNA from 1 species
UACGUAGGGGGCAAGCGUUGUCCGGAAUUAUUGGGCGUAAAGAGCGCGUAGGCGGUCCGAUAAGUCGGCUGUGAAAGUCAUGGGCUCAACCCAUGAAAGCCGGCUGAUACUGUCGGACUAGAGUUCGGAAGAGGCAAGUGGAAUUCCCGGUGUAGCGGUGAAAUGCGCAGAUAUCGGGAGGAACACCAAUUGCGAAGGCAGCUUGCUGGGACGAUACUGACGCUGAGGCGCGAAAGCGUGGGGAGCAAACAGG